CCUACGGGGAGCAGCAGUGAGGAAUAUUGGUCAAUGGACGAGAGUCUGAACCAGCCAAGUAGCGUGAAGGAUGACUGCCCUAUGGGUUGUAAACUUCUUUUAUAUGGGAAUAAAAUGUUCCACGUGUGGGAUUUUGUAUGUACCAUAUGAAUAAGGAUCGGCUAACUCCGUGCCAGCAGCCGCGGUAAUACGGAGGAUCCGAGCGUUAUCCUGAUUUAUUGGGUUUAAAGGGAGCGUAGGUGGAUUGUUAAGUCAGUUGUGAAAGUUUGCGGCUCAACCGUAAAAUUGCAGUUGAAACUGGCAGUCUUGAGUAAAGUAGAGGUGGGCGGAAUUCGGGGUGUAGCGGUGAAAUGCUUAGAUAUCACGAAGAACUCCGAUUGCGAAGGCAGUUCACUGGACUGCAACUGACACUGAGGCUCGAAAGUGUGGGUAUCAAACAGGAUUAGAUACCCCAGUAGUC
rnacentral:rRNA from 1 species